GUCUUGUAAUUGGAAUGAUGGGAAUUUAAACCUCUUCCAGAGUAUCAAUUGGAGGGCAAGUCUGGUGCCAGCAGCCGCGGUAAUUCCAGCUCCAAUAGCGUAUAUUAAAAUUGUUGCAGUUAAAAAGCUCGUAGUUGAAUUUCUGCUGUCUUGUUAUUUCUCCUUGACGAGUUUUGACAUGAUGGCUUAUUUCGGGCAUUGCUUUGCAUUGCCUGAAUGUUUACUUUGAGAAAAUUAGAGUGCUCAAAGCAGGCUUUAGCCUUGUAUAGUUUAGCAUGGAAUAAUGAAGUAGGACUUUGGUUCUAUUUUGUUGGUUUUAGGUACCAAAGUAAUGGUUAAUAGGAACAGUUGGGGGCAUUCGUAUUUAACUGUCAGAGGUGAAAUUCUUAGAUUUGUUAAAGACGAACUACUGCGAAAGCAUUUGCCAAGGAUGUUUUCAUUAAUCAAGAACGAAAGUUAGGGGAUCGAAGACGAUC
rnacentral:rRNA from 1 species